rnacentral:rRNA from 1 species
GAUGAACGCUGGCGGCGUGCCUAAUACAUGCAAGUCGAACGGAAAGGCUCCUGCCUUGCGCCGUACUCGAGAGCCGCACACGUGUGAAUCACGCGUGGGAUCUCUCCUUCACUGCGGGGGAAAACUGGGGAACUCGGUCGCUUAUACCGUAUGACAACUUUAUGCAUAGGUUGGUAGAAAGAAUUACGGUUUUGCAUGAGCUCGCGGCCUAUCAGCGUGUUGGUGAGGUAAUGGCGUAGCAAGGGGUCGACGGGUAGCCGGCCUGUGAGGGAGUACGGCCACAAUGGGCCUGAGGUACGGACCAGACGCCUACGGGAGGCAGCGGUGGGGAACAUUGCGCAAUGGGCGCAAGCCUGAUACAGCGACGUCGGGUGGGGAAUGACGGCUUUUGGGUUGUAAACUCCUUUCGAUAGGAACGAACAGCAAGUGACGGUACCUAGAGAAGAAGCAACGGCUAACUACGUG